GAUGAACGCUAGCGGCAGGCUUAACACAUGCAAGUCGAGGGGCAGCAUGAAGGUUAGCAAUAACCUUUGAUGGCGACCGGCGCAAGGGUGCGUAACGCGUGAGCAACUUGCCCGUUUCUGGGGAAUAACCGGUGGAAACGCCGACUAAUACCCCAUAGCAUCAGAAUGAGGCAUCUCAAUCUGAUUAAAGAAAUUCGGAAACGGAUAGGCUCGCGUGACAUUAGCUAGAUGGCGGGGUAACGGCCCACCAUGGCUACGAUGUCUAGGGGUUCUGAGAGGAAGGUCCCCCACACUGGAACUGAGACACGGUCCAGACUCCUACGGGAGGCAGCAGUGAGGAAUAUUGGGUCAAUGGUCUGACGACUGAACCAGCCAUGCCGCGUGAAGGUCACGGCCCUAUGGGUCUUAAACUUCUUUUGUAAGGGAGCAAUAAGGUGCACGUGUGCAUCGAUGAGAGUACCUUACGAAUAAGCAUCGGCUAACU
rnacentral:rRNA from 1 species